AUGGAGCUCUGGCCCAUGGCCAACAGCUCAAGGUCUCGCCCCACCUCUCCUCUCUCUCUCUCUCUCUCUCUCUCAUUUCAAAUUGCUAGGAUUGGUGCUUCCCUGAUGCAUUUUUUUUUUCAUUCCUUGGAAGUGUUUUCCUCGCACACGUUGGUGCGACACAGAGCAACCGUGGGGAUUCCUUCCACUACGACGUCUCCUGGUUUCUCCUCCGGUGCCCCCGUUCUUCUUCCACUUCAGCAAGUGGUGAUCCACCGGUUCCCUCCUCUGCUCUGCUCUACUGUACUGUCAAUGUCUUUUCUUGUUUCUAUCACCUAA
rnacentral:rRNA from 1 species